rnacentral:lncRNA from 1 species
AGAGAAGGUAAGAACAGAGACAUCCUCAAAUCCAACAUUUAGUGGUUCAGCGCCUGCUGAUUCCAUAAAAACGGCAACAACUCCUGUUUCCUGAGCACUUGUUACAUGCCCAGCACCAUCCCAGCUAUGGCACCAGUUCUUAAUGCAACCUUCAUUUUAUGGACGAGGAAACAGGCUGAGACAGGAGAAGCCACCCAGCAAGGAGGAGGCAAAGUCAGGAUCUAAACUGAUGCCCUUGAUCCCUGGGUUCUUCCUGGACAAACUGGGGGGGGGACACCCCAUCCCCAGGGCCAUAAAGACAGGUCUCAACUCUGAUUCCUGCCUUCCUGGGAUUCAGGAGGGCCGAGGCAGGAGACAGCUGGGACGUGAUGUGGCUCCCAGACGGAUGAGAAGCAUGAUUGAAUCUUCACGGCGCUAAUAACCGUGCCGGCACGUGGAGCAGGUCUGGAAGAUGGAUGGUGUCUCGGGCUCCCCUGCCACGCCCAGCCCUGUCUCCGACCUUCCUCGGGGAAUGUGGCCCCAGCUAGGAGGCUGCUUCUGGCUCCCGUGCCAUCUCCAGAGAAGGCAUGCCAGGACCAAGCAGUCUCCCCACUGUGCAGUGGGGGAAACCGAGUCUAGGCUAAAUGGGAAGGGCUUUAUCUGAGGACAAGCACCAGCGCCAUCAUCGCCAUAGCCCAGCAGUCUGCCUAGGGUGUGGCAUUUAAGUAAACCAUGGUGAUGAGAAAAAUCGAGUGAUAACGAAGACCUUGACCGUAAACUCCUAUGUGAUCAUCAGGCAACCUUGGGAUGCUGACACUGGUCCCAUUGGCCAAAUGUGCAAGCUGAGACUCAGCCCCCGUAAGUAAGCUGCCCAGGGACACAAGAUUGCAAGAAGUGGAGACUAAAUUUAAGCCCAAGUCCUGCUGAGACCAGACCCUUGCAUUUUCAUUUCCCACAUGUGCUGCCCCUCUCCUAGGGGUUUGAUCUCUAGUGAUUUCCUUGACCUUGAACUCUCUGUGCUAAAAAUGGAGCUCAGAGUGUGCCUGGUGAGAUGAAAACAGUCACCCUCUGUAUCCAUGAGUUCUGCAUCUGUGGAAUCAACCAACCUUGGAUCACCAGUUUUUGGGGAAAAAAAAAUCCAGAAAGUUCCAAAAAACAAAACUUGAAUGUUCCCCGUGCAGGCAACUAUUUACAUAGCAUUUACAUGGUAUUGCCAGUGACUUUCAUAGCAUGCAUAUGGAAUUAGGGAUUACAAGAGAUCCAGAGAUGAUGAAAGUGUUUGGGAGGGUGUCCACAGGUUAUAUGCAAAUACUAUACCGUUUUAUAUCAGGGACUUGAGCAUCUGGGGAUUUUGGUAUCCGCCAGGAGGUUCUGGAACUGACAGCCUGUGGAUACAGAAGGCUGGCUGUAUUUCUAGUUAAAAAUAAUAAUGUGUACAUUGACCCCUUCCUGAGCACUCAUUCUGAGCCUGGCAGCAUUAUUGUGAUCUGAGUCUCAGUCUCAUCGCCCCAAGUUGCAGAUGAGGAAACUGAGGCAGCCCCAUCCUGCCUCCCAGAGAAGCCUGCCCCUGCUUCUUGCUGCCUUCAUUUCAGUUUGGCUCCUUGCAUGCCUGGGCAGAUCCAGGCUUGGGGCCUCCUGGGGGAGAUCAGACUGACGCGUUCUCAAGGGGCCUCUCUCCCCACAGCCCGUCAUGGUUCCAGAAGCCAGCAGCCAGAUGUUUGGUGUCUGUGGAGCAGGCCCCAGCUGUGGCCCUGGACUUUGAGGGCCCCCUUGGCUGACCCCGUGGGGCUGGGAGGGAUGAUCUCUGUGACGGGGUUCAGCCCGAGGUCGGGAGUCGGAUGGGAAAGCGCUUGUGCAGGGCUGUGGGUUUGUAGGAACCUUCUGAAUCCUUCUCCCAGGGCUGGGAAAAUCCCAUGGUCCCCUGUUUUUCAGCCUCCCGACAAAACCCACACAUAUGGGGCUCACCAUGAGGCUGGCUUCUUUGGGCCAAGAGGAGGCCCCAGCUGGCCGGCUGUGUGACCAGGGAAGGUCACUCACCCUCUCUGAGCCUCCAUCAUCUUGUCUGCAAGGAGGGGUCAGGUCAGCUGGGUAGUGUCUCCCACAGCUUGUCCGGCCUGAGGGACCUGGACACCAGCUCAGGGGGACAAUGGGCCCCUUACUCAGUCUUCCCCAGACGCCCCCAGCCUGUAGCCCUGAGAAAGGCAUUUCCUCUCCCUGCACCACUGUGUCUGCACCUGUAAAACGGGUUUGCUUAUAGUUCCGGCCGUGGGGUUACCCAAGCUCUCAGAGGGACCUUGGCUCAUGGUCCACCCUGAAUGCAUGGAAAUGCAGCCUGAUAGGACAACCUGCCUGGUGACGGCAUUCAAUAGGGGCGGCCAGGUGUGAGGCGAGUCCAGGUAUGCCAGCUGCCAGCCAGGUAGAUGCCAUUUCUCCUCUGGAGCGGGGCUGGAACAACUCCAGGAUUCCUUCAGGCUGUGGAAACGUGGCAGAAGAGCGAGACCUCCCCAGACCUCCUGGCUCACCCCCCUCCUCCACUUCCUUUUCUUUUCCUCAGCUCCCCCUCCCCACAGGAGGGCCCAGACCCCUGAGGAAAGGGGACGGGGGGACAUCAGGAGUUUCCUGGUCUUGAGGGUGGGCUGCCCGAUGUGAAUGUGGGAGCCUCAGUGCCCCUCUCAACCCCACACAGAGGCUGCCCUGGUUGCCUUGGUCCAGGCUCAGGGGAGAGGACGGUGAGGGGCGGCCCCUUUCCCCUUCCACAUACCCUGGCAUAACCGGCAGAGCUCCUCGCCACGCGGUCCUGACCCACCUGUACCGCAGCUUCCCCGUGGGGGGUCAGCGAAGUUCAUGGUAGGCCUUAGAUCUGUCCCUUCAUCUCGCUGAGCCUCGGUUUUUGGCUUCCCACCUGAGAAAUGGGGGUAGUGACAUUUGCCUUUGGGGAGGGGGCUGCCGCCAGGAGUGAAUGAGACCAAGUUGAUUUAGGGACAUUCCCAGGGAUCCUGGGCCUCGGGGGCGGGGGCAGAGCUAUGGCUGGCAUGGGGGAUGGUCCCCAGGGGUGGCGGCAGUGCUGAGAGGGACACUGCGGGGGCUGUCAAGCUAUGAGGUGACAGCCCUUUCGUCUCUAAAGCCUUCUCCUGAAGCCUCUAAAUAGCUCUCCUAUUGAAGCCAACUUUAAAUCUCUCAAAGCCAGGGCCUCUCCUGGUCCUAAAGACUAAAGAACAAGCACCACAACACAGCCCUGGUCCCCACGGUCGUGAGGUGGCGGGUGGCUCUCAGAGCCCGCUGGCUCUCUCCUCCUGGGGGAGGGAUGGUGAAUGGCAUCUCUUGGCUUCUUUGUGAUAUUUGGAUGGUGAUGGUAUUGACUCGUCAGCCCUCCAAAUUGAGGGCUGGUGCCUAGGAUUUUAAAUUAGCCACUGUCAGACUUCACUCUGCCCAGUAGAGUGGGUUAAAAUUCAGAUUCAGAUUGGGCAGACCCGAUUUGCAGGGCCCGAUGCAAAAGGACCAUGUGGGGUCCUUGUUCAAAAAUUGUUUAAAAGAGGUGUUCUGCCGCAGCUCAGGGGAAACGAAUCUGACGAGCAUCCAUAAGGACUCAGGUUCAAUCCCUGGCCUUGCUCAGUGGCCUAAGGAUCUGGCGUUGCAGUGAGCUGUGGUGUAGGUCACAGACGAGGCUCAGAUCUGGCAUUGCUGUGACUGUGAUGUAGGCCGGUGGCUAUAGCUCCGAUUUGACCCCUAGCCUGGGACCCUCCAUAUGCCUGGGAUGUGGACCUAAAAAAAAAAAAAAAAAAAAAAAAG